UUUACUGUGAAAAAAUCAGAGUGUUCAAAGCAGGCUUACGCCUUGAAUACAUUAGCAUGGAAUAAUGAGAUAAGACUUUGGCGGUCUAUUUUGUUGGUUUGCACGCCGAAGUAAUGAUUAACAGGGACGGUUGGGGUUCUUCGUAUUCAAUUGUCAGAGGUGAAAUUCUUGGAUUUAUGGAAGACGAACUGCUGCGAAAGCGUCGAACAAGGACGUUCUCAUUAAUCAAGAACGAAAGUUAGGGGAUCGAAGAUGAUUAGAUACCAUCGUAGUCUUACCAUAAACUAUGCCGAUUCAGGAUUGGCGGUCGUUUGUUCUCGACUCCGUCAGCACUGUAUGAGAA
rnacentral:rRNA from 1 species